rnacentral:lncRNA from 1 species
ACCAAAGUGGACUUACCCUGCAUAAGGGCUUGUUUUGUAUACUGGUAUUUAGACCCUGCAUGUGCAUGUGUAUGCAAACAUAAAUACAAAGACAGAGCACAAGCUUUCCCACUGACCACCCUAGAAAACCUAGCUAUGUCUAUGUGCCAUAACAUCUGAGGAACAGGGAACAUUUGUCAUUGCAUUAAAAUACAUAACGGUCUAAUUUUACUGUAAAAGUGAAUCUGUUGGUAUCUGAUCAAAUACAAGUAAGCAACUUCAAAUCCAGCUCAAAUACCUUUGAUUGUACCAAUUGUUUUUUCAGUUUUUGUUUUGCCUUUUAUUUAUUGUGAUCACUAUUGAGGUUGGGCUAACGACAGUGAAAAUGACCCUAAGAAAGGGAUUGAAUGUGGGGUGUAAUGUAAGUAUAGAGAAACCGUGUUGGGCUGCCGAGACAUAUUUGAGAGAGAUAGCAA